rnacentral:rRNA from 1 species
CCUACGGGUGGCAGCAGUAGGGAAUCUUCCACAAUGGGCGAAAGCCUGAUGGAGCAACGCCGCGUGGGUGAAGAAGGUCUUCGGAUCGUAAAACCCUGUUGUUAGAGAAGAAAAUGCGUGAGAGUAACUGUUCACGUUUCGACGGUAUCGUACCAGCAACCGACGGCAAACUUCGUGCCAGCAGCCGCGGUAAUACGUAGGUGGCAAGCGUUAUCCGGAUUUAUUGGGCGUAAAGGGAACGCAGUCGGGCGUGUAAGUCUGAUGUGAAAGCCCUCGGCUUAACCGGAGUAGUGCAUUGGAAACUGGGCGACUUGAGUGCAGAAGAGGAGAGUGGAACUCCAUGUGUAGCGGUGAAAUGCGUAGAUAUAUGGAAGAACACCAGUGGCGAAGGCGGCUCUCUGGUCUGUAACUGACGCUGAGGUUCGAAAGCGUGGGUAGCAAACAGGAUUAGAUACCCUUGUAGUC